CAUCCGCCUAUGCCCUAGGGCUAGUGGAAGACUUAAGAUGGCGGCGUUUGCACGGAGUGCAAUCACUGCGUCCUUACGGGGGUUGCAAGGCGUCCGAAGUAUGAGUCCACUAACAAAAGUCCAGAAACUCGCCAGUUAAUAGUAUUGUGUCUCUUCAAAAUAUCGGAGAAUAAUUUCUUUCUCGCUGAUCGCCUAACUUCUACUGACGAAGCUAGGAAGUUGCAGAAGAUGGAGUUCGCUCUUGUUGCCCAGGCUGGAAUGCAAUGGCAUGACCUUGGCUCACUGCAACCUCUGCCUCCCCAGUUCAAGUGGUUCUCCUGCCUCAGCCUCCCGAGUAGCUGAGAUUACAGUUUCUUCAAAGGAAAGAAGCAACUGGAACACACAUAUAACACUAACCCUUCCAGCUGCAUUAUGAGGGACCAGUACCUGUCUCAAGGCAAAAUUAUGACUUAGUUCAUCCUCACCUCUGGAGGCCAGUAAAAGUGGGUUAUAGAAGAACAAAGAGGCAUCUAGAUCUUUCACUGGGUUAUUUGGAGAGAAACAUCUCCUACCGAAGGCCAGUUUAACAAGACUGGUAGAGGAGGUUAUCUUAUCUAAUUCACAGAAAUCAACACAUUGAGUCAAGAAAAAUGAAACACAGAAACACUCUAAAUAAAAGAAGAUAAGUCUUCAGAAACCAACCCUAAUGAAAUGAAGAUAUGUGAUUAACCUGACAGGAAAUUAAAAAGAGCAACCAUAAAGAGUCUCAUGGGAGCAAUGCAUGAACAAACUGAGAAUUUUCAUAAAGAAAUAAAAGAUAACAAAAAGUAUAAAGUUGAAGAAUACAAUAACUGGACUCAAAAAUUUAAUGUGUCCAACAGAAGAAUCGAUGAAGCAGAAGAAAGGGCUAUCAAACUUGUAGAUAGGCCAUUGGAAAUCAUGUAAUGUGAGGAGAAAAAAGAAAAAAGAUUGAAGAUAGUUUAAGAGACUUUUGAGACAUCCUCAAAGGGGAAUAAUUUAUACAUUACCAGAUGGAGAAGAUAGAGGGAAAAGGACAGAAAACAUAUUUGAAGAAAUAAUGUCAGAAAACCUCAUAAUUCUGGCAAGGAAAUAGAAAUUUAGAUCUAAGAAUCUCGAACAUCAGGUAUGAUGAAUCCAAGGAGACUCACACCAAACCAUAUUGUAAUUAAAUAAAGGUUAAAGACAAUCUUCAGAGCAGCAAGGGAAUAGUCUCUUCUUACAUACAAAAUGAUCCACGGAAGACUGUCAGCAGACUUCACCAGAAAACUUUCACGCCAGAAGGCAGUCGUGAUAUAUACAAAAAGCUGAAAGGAAAACACUGCCAUCCAGGAAUACUAUCUCCAACUAUCCUGUGUUUCAAAAAUUAAGGAGAAAUAUAAAGUUCUCAAACAAAAGAUGUGGGAGUUUACCACCACUAGACCUGCACGGGAAGAAUUGCUAAAGGGAGUCCUUCAAGCUGUAGUAAAAGAGUGCUAAUUAGAAACAUGAAAAC
rnacentral:sRNA from 1 species